GAUCAUGGCUCAGGACGAACGCUGGCGGCGCGCCUAACACAUGCAAGUCGAACGAGAGAUGAAGAGCUUGCUCUUCAAAUCGAGUGGCGAACGGGUGAGUAACGCGUGAGGAACCUGCCUCAAAGAGGGGGACAACAGUUGGAAACGACUGCUAAUACCGCAUAAGCCCACGGCUCGGCAUCGAGCAGAGGGAAAAGGAAGUGAUCCGCUUUGUAGAUGGCCGUCCGCGUCCCGGACUUAG
rnacentral:rRNA from 1 species